UACGUAGGUGGCGAGCGUUAUCCGGAAUUACUGGGCGUAAAGCGUACGCAGGCGGCUCCUUAAGUCUGACGUGAAAGCUCCUGGCUUAACUGGGAGAGGUCGUUGGAAACUGUGGGGCUUGAGGCGAUGAGAGGGGUGUAGAAUUCCCGGUGUAGUGGUGGAAUGCGUAGAUAUCGGGAGGAAUACCAGUGGCGAAGGCGACACCCUGGCAUUGGCCUGACGCUCAUGUACGAAAGCGUGGGGAGCGAACGGG
rnacentral:rRNA from 1 species